rnacentral:rRNA from 1 species
CUUCCGUAGGNNAACCUGCGGAAGGAUCAUUACUGUGAUUUAAUACUACACUGCGUGAGCGGAACGAAAACAACAACACCUAAAAUGUGGAAUAUAGCAUAUAGUUGACAAGAGAAAUUUACGAAAAAACAAACAAAACUUUCAACAACGGAUCUCUUGGUUCUCGCAUCGAUGAAGAGCGCAGCGAAAUGCGAUACCUAGUGUGAAUUGCAGCCAUCGUGAAUCAUCGAGUUCUUGAACGCACAUUGCGCCCCUCGGCAUUCCGGGGGGCAUGCCUGUUUGAGCGUCGUUUCCAUCUUGCGCGUGCGCAGAGUUGGGGGAGCGGAGCGGACGACGUGUAAAGAGCGUCGGAGCUGCGACUCGCCUGAAAGGGAGCGAAGCUGGCCGAGCGAACUAGACUUUUUUUCAGGGACGCUUGGCGGCCGAGAGCGAGUGUUGCGAGACAACAAAAAGCUCGACCUCAAAUCAGGUAGGAAUACCCGCUGAACUUAAGCAUAUCAAUAACCGGAGAAA